GGGGGUUUCAACUUUAGUUGGAUGUACCUAGUAGUUCUUGUCUUUACCAAAAGGGGAGAAACUGGACAAAAUACAUUUCAAGAUUGCAUGAAUUCUUAUGGAACAGGAGAAUGGGAAAUAAUUGAAUUUUAGUUUUCAAGUUUGCUAGAAUUUUAGUUGAAUUCUAUUUCUGCUCGUGUUUUACGUCUUAUGCUAGCAACUUAAUGGAGCGUCAGAAUAACAACUUAGUAGAAUGAUCAUGCACUUCCUUUUUGAAUCGAGACAAAAUAAUCUUUGAUCUGCACUGUCGUCAUCAUUUUUUUUCCCAUUUGUUUGGCAGCGUAGGAUUGUGUUUUCAGAAUUAAGGAUGGUCGAGUUUCAAUUUAUUCUAGAUUAAUAAAUAACAUUAUUGGAAAAGACAAGCAUGGAAAUAAUGCCACCCAUGAAAGACUGUGGUUUCUAUUGAUUUUUGGGUUGUUGGUGGGAGUGACAAACUUUCUAUCUACAUUUGGUGAUAGGUUUUUUCUGUCAAGGCUCCUUUAAAAGUUACCUUUUCACAUUUGUCUUAUUUCUAAUGACAACACAAUUAUGUCCGGUUUGCAUCUAAUCAUGCAUUUAAUAUUUGUGAAAACAAUGUGGGAUAUGGAGUAUGUUGUCUGCAAAAGCUUAUCUUAAGAUUUGGUACUUUAUCAUGAUAAAUGGCAUGGUUGAAAAAGAUGCUGUGUCAAGCGUGUCUUAGAGGUAAAGGAUGGCGGUCUUUGGGAGACUAUUUGACAUGCCAACAUAGCAUCUGGGCGAUGUACUUGUGAAUUUCUGCUUUGGUGAAGAAUGGUAAAUUGAUAAGACUAUAAAUGUGGGAUUCACUGGGAAGGGUGAACACGUAAACAGAUUAAUUGGCUCUGGAUAAAUUGUAUUUGCUGAAAUGGCACUGUGAAACCAUCCAUAUACUAGUUAGGUGAUGCUUUUUUUUGUUUAGGGUUUUGUGGUCUUUUAUGAUUUUGGUUCUAUUAGUUGCUGGCAUAGAUAUGCUGUGUGUUUGGAAAACUUUAAAAAUGCUGGAAUUCAAUUCAAUUAAAUUCAUUUUACUCAAUUCUAAUGCUUGGAAACCACUUAAGAAGGUGUUAUUUUACUCAAUUGAAAGUCACAGUUUGGUAUAGUGGUGGUGUCCCUUUUUAUAUGUUAGGAUAGUAUAGGAAAGUAGGCAUAUUCCAUCUUUUUUUUGUUUUAAUUAUUCCAAAC
rnacentral:misc_RNA from 1 species